UUUUUCUUUAAGAGGAAGGAAGCUUUAGGCAAUUGGGCCCAACUCCGAUGCGUGCUGCCUAUACAAAUACAUGUAAAAUGCACAAACGCUUUUCUGAGAUAACCACUGGGAUGAUUUUAAUGAAAUUUGUUGCACUUGAGAGAGAAAGUUAAAUUCUAGUGACUGUUGUAAGUGGAAUGUUAAUUUAGGGCCCGAAAUUUUUCAAAAGUAACUUUCAAAAAUUGGUGGGUUUGAACAAAGAUGGAAGCACGAGGUGUACAAAUUUGUAGGUCUGCAUUAAGAACAGAUAUGGCACUUCUGUAAACUGCAUCCGUUAGAGCAUCCAAAGUGGACAAAUUUGAUACAUCAAUUUACAUCUUACGUGAAUUAGUUACAUUGUUUACAAGUGUUUUGCAAAAGUCCAACUAACAUAUUAGUGCUCUAUUUGAGAGCCAUGUAUAAUACAUUAAUUUUGUCCGCUUUAGAUGCGCCAGCAUAUGCAAUUUACAGAAUUGUGAUAUCCUUUUUCAUUGCUGAGUUACAGAGUUGUAAACUUGACAGUGUGGCUUUCUGAAAAUUAGCCGAUUUUCUACAAUUUUUAUAAAAAAACUUGACGGCCUAAAUUAAGCAUUCGCUACCAACAGUGACUAUAUUUUAAGUUCUUCUUUUAAAUGCCACAAACCCCAUCAAAUUUGGAGCAGUGGUUGCCGAGAAAAACGAUUUCUCCUAGCUUUCCCAUGUAUUCAGAUAGGAGCCCCCGUGCUAAAGCUACCAAUGCUCGUAAAUCGGAGGGGCCAAAGAAACUGAAACAAAAUAUUGUUUGUGGUGAGUACUUUCUAAAUAUCAUAUGCUUUAAAUUGUUAUAUAUGAGAAACUAAACAGAUAUAUGUUCGAACUUUGUUGAGUUUUGCAAAGUCCACAUUCAAACUCUUCCAGAUGGCGCCACAACGGCUCGCCAAACGCGCGCGGUGCGAAUACGAAAGUUCGUCAACGGUGAGAUACGAGCGCGGGAAACUGCUGCCUGUGGGCAAGCUGGUGCCGGCUUGACAGCUCAACGUUUUCCGUUUGUGCUUACGAGGCGGCGUUACUUGACAGAAGAUAAUAAUACUUUGAUGCUCUUCUCACGCCUACAAAUGAGGGCGACGUGAUAAACAGCACAGCACGCGAAAGGGUACGUGAACGCCAACGAACGGCGUGCCGCCAACAACUGCAUGGGCUGUCACUUCAGUGUAUUCUUCCCGCCUUUGGAAGAAGCAUUUUGGACUAAAGCUACCUUGAUAUGUACAAAACAUGGGAGACUACGUGCAGGAUUAUGAAUGGCUACCUGAACGCUGCUUGAAGCAGCGAGCUCUACAGCACCACUCAUGCCCCUUUCCAUGGGUUGGCAAGAGGAGCAGUGGCACACAACUCUACAGGCACUUGUGCUUUUUAUCAUCUUUGGAGGAGAUGUAUUGGGUGCUCCAUACCAUGCACUGCCAUUUCAAUACACCAAGGCUUUUCGUGUGGAUUGCUUCCCUUUUCAAGGCCACCACUGCUUGCACAGCAUCAUCAGCCUACCUUCCUUGAUCUUCAUGUUCCAUUGGCAGAAGAAAAUACAAAAUGCCUACUCUGAAAUACAUGCUUGGCUCCAUGCAGCACUCCCUGCCGUCAGGGUGCUAGAACUUUGUGCAGAGAAAAUGUUCGUAAUGAUGCUAUAUGUGUACAGCCUUAGUGGUAAAGUGUUGCCCGCUUCGCCUAUGAGAGAAUUUCACACUUAUGGGGACUGUUAAAGGUUCAUGUGUUAAAUGUUUGACAUCCUAUAGAAAUUUUCAUGUUUCAGUAUAAAAGCAAAAUUAUAGUUGAAUUGCUGCUUUUUGUGAUAUGCAAUAUACAGCUGAAGGUGAUUAGCAGUGGUGAAACAGGUGUUGUAUGAGGUGGUAAAUUGUUUUCAACAGGGGGAGUUGUCUUUGCUAGGGCAACAACUUUUUUCCUUGGCAGCAUUUAUAUAGUUCACUUUUCCCCACUCCAUAGACAUCUAGGAGAAUAAGCAGGGUUGCAUAGAGUAGGGUGAGGUAAGUUGAAAUGCUCAACAUGAUGGUUUAGUUGGGAAGGUAAGGUGUGUGGAAGAAA